UUUUUCUCAAGAAGUUGACGUUUAUUGACCAGUUAUGAGCCGCAGAACAAGAAGUAACAGAUUGCGUAUCAGUAAGAAUGAAUCAGGACAUCCGAUUGUUUGCUUUGAGACCAGAUUUAGAGCGUUGAAAGAGAAGCGACUUGAUAGUUUGCUACAAAAAGGCUUUGAUUAUUCACACUACCCAAGCUGGGUUAAGACAAAGAUACAAAAUUAAGACAGUUGAGACAUUUCUUUGUACAAAUUGUGCAAAUCAAAGGCUUCUACAAAUUAAUUACAGAGCAAAUAUACAAACUAUACACACAUUAUUAAAGAUAUUCAAAAAAUAAAAUGAAAAAACAUAUUACAGCUACAAAGAUAACUACGCAGGACACACUUAGCUUUAGUUAUUUAAAUCUGUAGUAACACUACGGUUAGUUAUUCGGGUUUUGGCAAUAUUUAAGUUUUAAAUAUGACCUCUGCUGUGAAGCAUCAUCAUAUUUUUUCAGUUGGCAAAACGAUUUAACUAAAAGCUUCUAAAAACAAAAGAGUUUUGUAAAACAAAAAUAUUACAUUCACACAAAAAAAAACACAUAGAAGACAAAGAUGUAACCCUUCUUUGAACGAAUACAGGCAAAAAUGUACAUAACCCUGAGACACACACACAAAAAAAAAAACAACAAAGUUCAAAACAGAAAAGUAUCUCCUUCAGCCUUCAUUCGUUUCUUCAGCUUGUACUUUAAGUCGAGGAGGAAGAUACAAAUUUAGCUCACCAAAAUUGAGGGAAGCCCAAAUCCAACGUCUAAAAAUACAGACAGGAAGAUUGUGUCUGAGCACGAAAUCAUACACUUCAUCCGAACGUCUUCUCCACGCAGCCGGCACAGCAGAGGUCCAAUUCAGUCCAUCAGCAGUCCAAAUAAAUUACACCUGAGUGAACGCCCAGUCAGGAGGGGAGACAAACCACAACAGAGGGCUUCAGCUGCUGAGACGACGGUGCAGUCACAGUAGCGCAUUUAGCCCCCGGAGGCGGUGAGUUUUUGUGCAGAGGUGCCUCACGCCUGUCCGUAUGGCAACCAGUCCAAGGGGUUGCAUGAGAAAGUCACACAGGGAUUAAACGGAUCGGGUGGAGAAGAGGCCGUGGACCUCCAGUCUCUGGGCUGUUUCCACCACUCUGCAGCUAAAACGUGAGCAGGAGGGGGGAAACUCAAACCCCGACCUCGUCCUCAUCCGCUUCUUCUUCCUCCUCCGAGCCAGCGAAGGGAACACCCUGCAUUCCAG
ensembl:lncRNA